GCCCGCUCGUACCCUUAUCAUUCUAUCGCCCCGUGUGAAUUUUGAGCAACUGGACGGAGAACUGAUAAGGGCUCGUGUCGCC
rnacentral:pre_miRNA from 1 species